rnacentral:misc_RNA from 1 species
AACGCACCUUGCACUCUUUGGUAUUCCGAAGAGUAUGUCUGUUUGAGCGUCGUGAAUCUCUCAACCCCCCUAUUUUGUAAUGAAAUAGGCUUUGUGGGCUUGGAUUAUGGCUGUCUGUCGGAUCUCUUAAUUGAGCCGGCGUAAUAAUACUAUUCGCUGAGGACGUUUUCAUUAUAAAGGAUUGAUUGACGCUUCCAAUGCGACUUUAAUUAGUCAAUUCAUAACUCUAGACCUCAAAUCAGAUAGGACUACCCGCUGAACUUAA